GUCAGCUCUGAGACAAAGGAUUUGCCUUGCAAGCAUGAACACCUGGGUUCCAUCCCAGAGCCUACAUUUAGAAAAGCAGACAUAGUGAUCCACAUGCUAAGCCUCCUGAGCCUGCUGCCUGCCCCACUUUCCCUGCCGUGCUGAACACAAUCCCCUUGAACGGUCACAGGUGUAAGUGGGAGUCGGGGUCUGAACCAACGAGGUAAUGGAACCCGAGGCAGAUACAGACGCCCGCCCGCCACUGGCCCUGGCUCCAUAACAUGCAAACUAUCGAGACCUACAGCCCUCCACAGGGCAUCUGUGAUUCGAGUUCAACUGGUCCAGCUGCAGCUCUAGUCA